rnacentral:lncRNA from 1 species
CGGGCUUCCUCCCCCCUAAGUGGUGGUGGCUACAGAACCUAGAGGCCCAGAGGGUGGGAGCUGCUCUUCCCAGGCCUCUCCAGCGGCAGCGCCAGGAAGGAGCCACAUUCAUAUGGCCUGGCAGGGAAGCUGCUCUCUGGAGAGACGGAGGUCCCUGCAGCCCUGCCUGGGUCAUAAUCACAGAGCAACUCGGAGCCUCAGUACCAUCUCAGAGAUGCCCACAGAACCUUGCUGAAUGAAUCUGAGUGAGUGAGCAAAUAACAACGCUAAUAGAGGAGCAGGGGCCGGGGCACAGGGGCCCAGGGCCCAGGGCACAGGGCCUGGGCCUGGGAGGAGAGGAGAGAGAAGCAGCCAUGACCUCUGGCAGGACAGGAAAAGAGCACGGAGGGUCUCCAUGCGCUGUGGCCUUGCCGGUCCCAGGACUGCAGGAAGCAGGCAUUGGUGGAAGUGCAGGGCGAGGGUGACACUCAGGGGCCAGUGACACAGCAAGCAGAGGCCACUCCUGACCUUUCCCUCAGGGCCCACGCCACCUGAGUUCCGAAAUCCUCGCCACCACACCAGGCUCAGUCCAGGAGCCCUGACCCAUGCCCUCUGCCCAGUCCCUGGGGCUCCUGCUGCCCUGAACCUGUG